rnacentral:rRNA from 1 species
UGGGGGAUAUUGCACAAUGGGGGAAACCCUGAUGCAGCGACGCCGCGUGAAGGAAGGAGUGCCUCGGCAUGUAAACUUCUGUCAGCAGGGAAGAAGGAGACGGUACCUGACCAAGAAGCUCCGGCUAAAUACGUGCCAGCAGCCGCGGUAAUACGUAUGGAGCGAGCGUUAUCCGGAUUCACUGGGUGUAAAGGGAGCGCAGGCGGCCAGGCAAGCGAGAUGUGAAAGCCCGGGGCUCAACCCCGGGACUGCAUUUGGAACUGCCGGGCUGGAGUGCAGGAGAGGCAGGCGGAAUUCCUAGUGUAGCGGUGAAAUGCGUAGAUAUUAGGAGGAACACCAGUGGCGAAGGCGGCCUGCUGGACUGUGACUGACGCUGAGGCUCGAAAGCGUGGGGAGCAAACAGG